UAAAAAAUUUUGGCGGUAUUUUAAGCUUAUUAGAGGAAUUUGCUCUGUGAUGGACACAACGCCUUAAUCUUACUUAAUUUAGUAAUUUAAAUCAGUUUGUAUACCACUAUAUUAAUUAUAUUGAAUAGUUAUAUUUAAAAUUUUUUUAAAAAAAUAUAUUAAGUCAAGGUGCAUCUAAUAAUUAUGAAUGAAGUGAAUUACAUUAAUUUUAAUGUAAUUUUUUACAUGAAAAAAUUAAUUAGGAUUUAAUAGUAAAAUACUAAUAUUAUGAGUAUUUGAAUCAAGCUCUAAAAUAUGCACAUAUCGCCCGUCGCUCUCAGAAGUGAGAUAAGUCGUAACAAAGUAAAAAUACUGGAAAGUGUUUUUUAAAAUGAAAUCAUUUGAUGUUUCAUUUACAAUGAAAAUUUUGUUAUUUAACCAUUUUAA
rnacentral:rRNA from 1 species